UACGGGGGGGGCAAGCGUUGUUCGGAAUUACUGGGCGUAAAGGGCUCGUAGGCGGCCAACUAAGUCGGAUGUGAAAUCCCCAGGCUUAACCUGGGAACUGCAUCUGAUACUGGAUGGCUUGAAUCCGGGAGAGGGAUGCAGAAUUCCAGGUGUAGCGGUGAAAUGCGUAGAUAUCAGGAAGAACACCCGUGGCUAAGGCGGCUCUCUAGUACGGUACUGACGCUGAGACGCGAAAGCGUGGGGAGCGAACAGG
rnacentral:rRNA from 1 species